GCCGCAGUGUUGGAACUGGCAGACAAGCACGUCUCAGAAGCGUGUGGGUAAAACCGUGUGGGUUCAACUCCCACCUGCGGCA
rnacentral:tRNA from 1 species